rnacentral:rRNA from 1 species
AGUGAACGCUGGCGGCAGGCCUAAUACAUGCAAGUCGAACGGAAGCACAGUAAGCUUUCGCUCCUACGGGUGGCGAGUGGCGGACGGGUGAGGCAUACAUAGGAAUCUACUUUUUCGUGGGUGAUAACGGAGGGCAGCUUAUGCUAACAGCGCAUAUGAUCUACGGGAGAAAGCAAGAGAUAAUGGCAGUUUGCGUGUCUCUAAUAGCCGGAGCCGGAUUAGCUAGUUGGGGGGGUAAGGGCCUACCAAGGCGACGAUGCGUAGCCGACCUGAGAGGAUGAUCGGCCACACUGGAACUGAGACACGGUCCAGACUCCUACGGGAGGCAGCAGUAGGGAAUCUUGCGCAAUGGGCGCAAGCCUGAUCCAGCCAUGCCGCGUGGGUGAAGAAGGCCUUCGGGUUGUAAAGCCCUUUUAUUAGGGAAGAACAGCUGCGGAUUUAUCCCCCGCCGUUCUGACGGUACCCAAAGAGAAAGCACCGGCUAACUUCGUG